GGAUAGGUACUUGAGCAUCUUCAUCAUUGCUUGGUUUAUUUGGUAGAAGACUCGCGUGUGCUCCAUUUAUGUUAUUUGCAUCUCUUGUGCCAUAGACCUGGGAUAUGGAACAUUUUUGUCAGACAGAGUAUGGAAUCUGAGUUCCAAGUUUUCCUGGUGAAGGAGGUUUCCCUGCAGGGAUUUGUGGUUGAAAUUUAGUAGCCUGAAUGAGGAACAGAUAGCAAAAUACUUGGAAGCGAGUUGGAUCAAUCCUAUGAAUAAGCAUGUAAGAAGUGAACCUUUUUUGUGCGGACACCGCGGAGACUCAUUUCCAAUUGGUUCUCCAAAUUCCGCAAUUCUUUGAUGCUCAAGCCUGAGAGUUCUUCUCCCAUCAUUUGCCUGUCAGCAUCGUGCGUAAGUAUAGUUAGCCUAGUGAGUCUAUCAUCUGACCAAUGUCUUAGAUUUUUGUGGAGUUGAAUAUGAAAUGAAAUCAAAGACUCAUAGAUACAAAUCUGUAACUCAGAGGUUUCUCAGGGUCUGCAAAACGAAGCUUUUGAUUUUACAACCCUUAAGUUCAGUUUACACUAAUUGCUAUUCUUUAUGGAAACAUAGUUUAUAAAGCAACAGGCUCAUGGCUCAUUUUCUUCCCAUGAUGCGGAUGACGACUGCCUCAUCUGCAACUGUUCCAUUACCCUAUGUGCUGCCUGUCCUUCCCUUCUUGUGAAACAUAUGAUGUUGAGCUCUGCCACAAUUCAAAUUCGUUUUUUUUUUUUUUUUUUUGGGGGGAGGGGGUGUGGCACGGUUGCGUGCUUUUUAGAAAUGUUCCACAAUUUAAAUGAAGUUGUGAGGCCUUUAACUGAACUGGAUCCUUCCACCUAGCGCUGGAAUUCCAGGAUCUGAAGACCUACCUUGGGAUGGCAAAGGAGUUUAGGCCAUGGAACCUUUAGGAAAAAAUAAAAAAAAUUUGGACCUCCGUCAAAUGCAUGAAUGAGUUUCCUAUUACCCCCUUGGCUUGCGUGCAUUUAUUAGUGCUAAAGUCGUGCCUUUUGAAAUGCCCAGAGAUUUGUAAGAUCGGAAUGCGGAAUGCAGAAGCGGUGAGUUGUUUUCAAGUGUUCUUUCUUGUUUUUGGUCGUGGAGAUGCGUAAGGGGUAGAAAACUUAAUAUGUCCUUUCCUUUAGCAAAUCCAAUGAGGAUGCAUUUGCAAGAGAAGCAUGACAGCCUGGAUGCUUAAGAGUAAUAUCUAAUGCAGUGAGGGAAAGACAUGCUACAUAUCAAAACCGUUGUGAAGGGUUUUCUAAUAAACAAUAAUAUAGCUUUGAAAAAUCGUGUUCUAUGUAAUGUCAUGCCAGAGACAUCAUUAUUUAUUACUUCGAUGUAUGAUUCUUUGUCCAGAUACUAAUGUUCACCUUAUGUUACUGUAAUGUUUUUCGUUAGCAGAAAAGCUAUCUGUCGUAUCCAGGCACCAUGGAAGCAUUGCUAUAAGAAAUGUGAAGAAAAUGCUUGAGAAGAGAAGAUGCACCGGUGGUUUUCUUGGAGAUGCUGCAGUUGUUGCCUUAAUAUUGCUGCUUCCCUCUGCCAAUACUGCGGAACAAAACUUGCAUAAGUUAGUGAUACGCCGGGAUUUGGGCAGUCGAAAUGUUUGAUAACGUCGUGUGCUAGAAAGGGGAUAGUGUAUAUAUGGUGUAUAUAUGGAAACGCAUGGUCGUUUGAUAAAUCAAAAGUCUCUCCAGGCAACUACAGAACACAUUCUCUUACAGGAUACCACUAGCUUGAAUCGUUAA